GCGGGUGUAGCUCAACGGACAGAGCAAUUCCCUUCUAAGGAAUAGGUUGAAGGUUCGAUUCCUUUCACCCGCG
rfam:Candidatus Levybacteria bacterium RIFCSPHIGHO2_02_FTLL_40_18 rifcsphigho2_02_scaffold_25389, whole genome shotgun sequence.